AACCCUUGGGCUCAAGCAGUCCUCCUGCCUCAGCCUCCCAAAAUGCUGGGUCCAAGAAGAAAGAACAGAUCUGGAGGUGGAGAUUUGGGAGGAUCAUAACAGAAGAGGAAAUACGUAAAGCCAUGAGAAUGGACUUGAUCACCACAAGAGCAGGUAUAGAAAGAAAAAGAGUUCUGAGGACUGAGCCCCAGAGCUCCCCAACAUUAAGAGGUGCCAGCAGAGCAGAGUGAGGUACAUGUGAGCUUGUGUUAUGCAGCAAAUGCUAACUGAUACAGGGCUAAUUUCCUUCCUGUGCAAGGAGCUCCUACUCCUCUUUCUUAUUCAAAGAACCCCUAUGAAUCAGUAAGUAAAAUAAUAAUAAAAGGAGAGUGAGAAGGGCCAGGGAAUAUGAGAAAAGUGAGGAGAAUGAGGAGUCUUGGAAGCCAAAUGAAGAAAGUGUUUCAAGGAACAGCCAAGGAUCAGUGCAUAAGAGAUAGUUAUUAUACAUACGAUGAGGAUGGGAAGAGAAUGCCAGGUUUGAACCCAGCGGAAGUCACUGUUGACCUUCACAACAGCAAUUUUUAGUGGAGUGGUGAGGGUGGCAAAGAUAUGAUUGGAAUAAAAAGGUGUAUAGUAAAACUUCUCCUUCUCCCUCCUAUCAGUCAUCUGCUCAUUUCCCAGAACCCCUGCCCCCACCCAGGGAACCACUUUUAUUAAUUUCUUAUUUAUACAUCAAGAGUUUUUAUGCAAAUAUAAGUAUACAUGGAAAAUAUAUAUUCUCACUCUAUAGUUUUUUACAUAAAAGUUAGCAUUUUAAGUAUACUUCUCUAUACCUUGCUAUUUUCCUAAGCUAUCCUAAGGCUCUUUCCUAUCUGUUCUUAAAGAGCUUCCUCAUUCUUGGUUGUCUUCUGUACAAUGGUUCAUUAUGGACAUGCCCUGACCAGUUCCCUGUUGAUAGACAUGUGGGCUGUCUCCAGUGUUUUAUUGUUGAUUAUACAAAAAAUUCUUCAGUGAAUGACCUUUUCACAAUACAUGUGUGGGUAUAUUUAUAGGGCAAUUCUUCCAAAGUGGAUUUCUGGGUCCAAGGGUAGAUUAUAAUUUGGUAGAUGUUGCAAAUUGCCACAGGAGUCAUACCAGUUUGCAUUCCCAUCAGCAACAUGUGUGAAUACAGUUAAGUCUCUAUUGAUGGAAAGUGAGAUUACUUCAAAUAUUUUGCCAUUGCAAAAUAAGAAGCAAAGGAUACACCUGAAUAUGCAAAAAUUUCUUAUGCAUGAGAAUAUAUUUGCAGAAUAGAGAUCCUGAUUGAUUUGUAGUGGUUCUUUCUAUCAUCACGUGAAAGAAAUUAGCCCUUGUAUCAGUUAGCUUUUACUGUAUGAGACAAGCUCCAAAGUGGAUGGCUAAACAGCUGUUUAUUCAGCUCCUGGUUCUUUGGGCCUGCAAUAUGGAUUGGGAUUAGCUGGGUGGUUCUGCUCUUUGGGGCCAGGCUGGGCUGAUCUUGGCUGGGCUUGUUGAGGAACAGCUAGGGUGGGAGUGCUCAGCCGGGUGGUUUUCUUCUUUCUGCUCCAUGUGAUCAAUCAGCCUCCACCUAGCUGGUCUAGGCUUUUUCACAAGGCAACUCAUGGUUCAAGAGCAGUCAGAGACCAAAAGCCCUUGCACAAGUGCUUUUCAAGCCUCUGCAUCACAUUUGUACUAUCCCAUUGGCUGAGGCAAGUCAAGUCCAGUGUCCGUGUGGUAAGACACUACCCAAGGGCAUGGAUACAGGGAGGCAUGAACAAAUCUGGGUCAUUACUACAACCAAUCCAUGGUGGGCCACAAAGGCCUAAUCUUAAUUCUCUGUCGUAAGUAUUUUGGGUUACCACUCUAGUCCGUUUAUUGAUAAAGCAAGGGACUGUGCUAGAAGUGGCGAUGAUCCUUGAAGCAGCUGAUCACAACAGUUUCAGUUCUGGAAUAUGAGCUUCCUUACAGUGAAGCUCUUGCCUUCUGUAGAGAGACCAUUCAUAAUGGUGAUGGAGCCAUGAGGACUGGGUGCAGGACUAUGCAGAAUGUGGAAUGGCCUUGCUUUCUGGCUUUAAACACAGAUUUUUAUUUUCCAAAGCUGUCUUCUUUCCUUCACUGACCAGGUAUCCCUCUGGCAUUCCACACAACCUGGCAGGACAGGUUUGAUCUCUGCUGAUUUCAGCUGCCAACAUGUUUCAGUGGAAACAGACCACAUCCAAGCCACAGCCUUCAGAAUCAUGCUGGGACAGUUAGGUGACUGAGCAGAAAUUUUGACUCAUCGAAAAUAGUCUUCCUGACCCUUGUUCUCAUCUAAUUUAUAUUUUUCAUUUCAUAAAUGGAGUUGACUUGACUGAGUCAGACCAGGAGCCUGCUAUUUUGGGGAGAAAAGUCUAUAAUAAAAUCCAUGAAAUUAGUCCUCUGAGAGUGUGGGCAGAGAGGUGACAGUGACUGUGCAACCCUUGAGGCAUGAGUGUUUCUGUGACGUGAUGUUGUCAUCCACAUGCAGGCCUGAGAAACCAAGGAGAGCCCUUGAAAGGGGGCAGGAAGAGGAGGAGAAAGAGAAGUGACUUUUACUGAGCACCUACUGCAUUCCAAGCACAGCACAAGGCACUGUGUAUACAGAGACACGUAAGAUGCUGUCUCAGUCCUGAAUAGACAUCAGCUAAUAUGUAAGAAAUCCCACAAAAACACGGUAUCAAGAAGGAAGAGGAGAAGGUGGAGCAGAUAGGGAAGGAGGAAAAAUAAAGAAACAAAAGGAAUUACACCAAAACAAGGGUAGUGAGAAGGGCUAAUUCAGAUGAAAACGCUCAGCACGGAUCUGAGGAAUGUACCGUAGGACUGGGACGGAGGGAAACAGGGUGAAGAAAGCAGCUGAAGAUCAGUUUGUUUUGAAAGUAACCAGCUUUUGUGCAUCACUGUUUACACUUGUGGAAGAAAGGCCCUGGGGCGUGCUGUAGAAUUGCAGCCUCCCUGGUGGGUGUUGGCCCUGCUGUCUGUCCCUCUUGGAGGAGCUGAGAUGCCGCCUGGCCCCCUUGUCCCCCAGACAUAGGCACUCACACGCAGAAUGACUUCACAGCCCAGCUCCUCGCUGCCUUUAACUCAGUGAAUCUGCUGUCGCACUGUUUGUUGACCUUGAGGUACAAACGCCUGAUUGUAGUACAAGGAGUCGUCUCUUCCCUGGGUAUUAAAAACAUUGUUAGGGGUCAAAAUCUCAAACCAAGAGAGCAGGCUCUGAUGGUAGGAUUGCAGCACUCAGCCUGUGGGCAGAGGAAGGGUGGGGGAUCAGUGUCACAAUAAAGGAAAAUGCCUGGUCCUACCCAGAAGUCAACCCUGAAAAUGUUGAAUAUGGACCCUGAAUUGUCUUAGCAAAGCUGUGAUGAAAUGACAAGCGGACUUGUUAGAAUCCAGUUUCCUCUAUGAACGGACUUGAUGGAAAGCCAAGCAUGUGAGGGAAGCCCCUGGCCUACCAUACCGUGUCCUGCUUGAAGCUUUUGGGAGUUUUCAAGGAGGUGCAGAGAUUUUAGUUUCUGUAAAACCACUGGAUAGCUGUGAUCAUGACCUCAAAGUCCAUCCUCCUCCACUGUCUUCCUUCUGCUGGAAAUUAAAAGGAUUUGGGCUUUAAGUCUGAGAGACAUGGGUUUAAAUUCUCCUUCUGCCUGCAUUCAAUCACUGGUCUCACAAGCAGGUGUAGGGCAGAUACUCUGCAUGGGCUCUGGGGCUAUAGACAAAGCAGAUGAGGGUCCUGACCCUGAGGGGGUUUACAUUCUAGCUGGAAUGACAUGCAAUGCAGUGGUUAGUUACAACAGGGAUUGUGACCAGGUAAGUGCAUGUACCAUGGAGAAACCCAUGUGGCUGCAGGUCCACGGGGGCUUUCAUGAGUGAGUGACUUAACUGAGCGCUGAAAUGUGGAAGGAGGAUAAGUGAGGGGGUGGGACGUAGAGCAGAGCAGCCAGAGAG